AAGGAAACAUAGAAUCAUCAUCUUCAGUUUUGAAAGACUUAGUUAGGUUUUUCUAAUUUGAAAAACUUAGUUAAGUUUUUCUCAUUUCUUUUAUUUUUUGGUAUCCUGGGCCUAUAGCUCAGUUGGUUAGAGCACACGCCUGAUAAGCGUGAGGUCGGUGGUUCAAGUCCAUUUAGGCCCACCAAACGUUUUGCUAAAAAAAACGUGUUAUCAAAAAAAAGUUCUUUGAAAAGUAGAUAAACAAGAAAACAAUAGCCAUUUUUAAAGG
rnacentral:misc_RNA from 1 species